rnacentral:lncRNA from 1 species
CCGAGACCCGCCUCCGAACCAGGCCCCACCUCCUGAGCCAGGCCCCCGCCCCCGAUUCUGACUCCGCCCUCUCUGUCCUUCGGUGGAGACUCCGGGAAAAACCUGCCUCCCAGUCUGCCCUCUCUCCGUCUGUCUGUGCUUGUUUUUCUACGUUUAUCCCUGUCGCUUUCCCCACUUAUUCUGCAGGCAUGGCGCGCCCCCAGUGCCGGCUUGGUGCCAGGGCUGGGAGAUCCGGGGGUGAAUCGUGAGCCCGGCCCACAGCGAGCUUGCAGUCUAGAGAUCAAGGCAGUCUUGUCCACAACCUGCUGUCACAUAAAGCAAAUGUAGCUGGUGUAGCACCAGGGGCUGCAAUCAAGUGCGGUGGGGCGGCAAUAGUGACCACGGAAAUAAUCAGAAUUGCUUUUAAUUCAGCUCCUACUAUAUUCCCGCAUCCCUGAGCCUCACAAUCAUCCUCCAAGGCUGCAGCAGCCCCCAUCGAGGCCACUCAUUUACAGCACAGGCCCACACAGUCUGACAAAGGACAGCUGCAAUCCUCUGUCAACUGCAGUCCUUUCCCAGGCACAUGCUGGAUUGGGAAACAGGUGGGAGAAAAGAACAGGUAAGACGUUCCUGUGGGAGUGAGUUAGCCUGGCAUUUACUGUGCCUCUUUGUGAAGAGCAGCCAACCUUUUCUGGCUUAAUCAGACUUGCCUAGAGCACUUGAAAAGAAUAGCUCUGAAGUCCAUGUGAUUUUGCUUCCCCACCCCCACCCCAACCAUGACUGAUUGGAACUGGAUAGAUGUCUUCCUCAGGAGGAGGAGCCAAGGGCUGUUUCCUGUCCCUGGACUUUGGAAUUGGGCCACCUAGUCAGUGAGUGGCCAAGAACCCAAUGAGGCUGCCCCAUGAAGGGAGCUGAGCUCAGUCAAAGAGAUUCAUGGCAGAGCACUAGGGUUAAUAAAGGCCCACGAACUCUUGUUGCUGAAGGCUCUAGGGCUGCCCCAUCCCUGCCCUUCCUGAGAUUUGGUGGAUCACCUCUUCCUGGGUUUCCACAAGUCCUCUCUCUCUCUCUCAAUAACCUAUUAAAUUGGGGUGUGAGUGGAUUCCUGUCCCUUGCAUCCAAAGUCUCCUUGGCUAUAAUGGAGUUCUAUAGGAAUGAGAGCAAGGGGCAGGAGCCCAAGGGUAGGAGGUUCUAAGUUUAGGACUUUAGAAAUAACAUUGUUAAGUGUGUUGAUGUCUAAGUCAGAAUGGAGGUGAUUCCCUCAAGUUUCUAAGCAUCAUCCAUUCCAUUCUGUCCAACAG